rnacentral:rRNA from 1 species
GGUUAAGCGACUAAGCGUACACGGUGGAUGCCCUGGCAGUCAGAGGCGAUGAAGGACGUGCUAAUCUGCGAUAAGCGUCGGUAAGGUGAUAUGAACCGUUAUAACCGGCGAUUUCCGAAUGGGGAAACCCAGUGUGUUUCGACACACUAUCAUUAACUGAAUCCAUAGGUUAAUGAGGCGAACCGGGGGAACUGAAACAUCUAAGUACCCCGAGGAAAAGAAAUCAACCGAGAUUCCCCCAGUAGCGGCGAGCGAACGGGGAGCAGCCCAGAGCCUGAAUCAGUGUGUGUGUUAGUGGAAGCGUCUGGAAAGGCGCGCGAUACAGGGUGACAGCCCCGUACACAAAAAUGCACAUAUUGUGAGCUCGAUGAGUAGGGCGGGACACGUGGUAUCCUGUCUGAAUAUGGGGGGACCAUCCUCCAAGGCUAAAUACUCCUGACUGACCGAUAGUGAACCAGUACCGUGAGGGAAAGGCGAAAAGAACCCCGGCGAGGGGAGUGAAAAAGAACCUGAAACCGUGUACGUACAAGCAGUGGGAGCCUCUUUUAUGGGGUGACUGCGUACCUUUUGUAUAAUGGGUCAGCGACUUAUAUUCUGUAGCAAGGUUAACCGAAUAGGGGAGCCGAAGGGAAACCGAGUCUUAACUGGGCGUUAAGUUGCAGGGUAUAGACCCGAAACCCGGUGAUCUAGCCAUGGGCAGGUUGAAGGUUGGGUAACACUAACUGGAGGACCGAACCGACUAAUGUUGAAAAAUUAGCGGAUGACUUGUGGCUGGGGGUGAAAGGCCAAUCAAACCGGGAGAUAGCUGGUUCUCCCCGAAAGCUAUUUAGGUAGCGCCUCGUGAAUUCAUCUCCGGGGGUAGAGCACUGUUUCGGCAAGGGGGUCAUCCCGACUUACCAACCCGAUGCAAACUGCGAAUACCGGAGAAUGUUAUCACGGGAGACACACGGCGGGUGCUAACGUCCGUCGUGAAGAGGGAAACAACCCAGACCGCCAGCUAAGGUCCCAAAGUCAUGGUUAAGUGGGAAACGAUGUGGGAAGGCCCAGACAGCCAGGAUGUUGGCUUAGAAGCAGCCAUCAUUUAAAGAAAGCGUAAUAGCUCACUGGUCGAGUCGGCCUGCGCGGAAGAUGUAACGGGGCUAAACCAUGCACCGAAGCUGCGGCAGCGACACUGUGUGUUGUUGGGUAGGGGAGCGUUCUGUAAGCCUGUGAAGGUGUACUGUGAGGUAUGCUGGAGGUAUCAGAAGUGCGAAUGCUGACAUAAGUAACGAUAAAGCGGGUGAAAAGCCCGCUCGCCGGAAGACCAAGGGUUCCUGUCCAACGUUAAUCGGGGCAGGGUGAGUCGACCCCUAAGGCGAGGCCGAAAGGCGUAGUCGAUGGGAAACAGGUUAAUAUUCCUGUACUUGGUGUUACUGCGAAGGGGGGACGGAGAAGGCUAUGUUGGCCGGGCGACGGUUGUCCCGGUUUAAGCGUGUAGGCUGGUUUUCCAGGCAAAUCCGGAAAAUCAAGGCUGAGGCGUGAUGACGAGGCACUACGGUGCUGAAGCAACAAAUGCCCUGCUUCCAGGAAAAGCCUCUAAGCAUCAGGUAACAUCAAAUCGUACCCCAAACCGACACAGGUGGUCAGGUAGAGAAUACCAAGGCGCUUGAGAGAACUCGGGUGAAGGAACUAGGCAAAAUGGUGCCGUAACUUCGGGAGAAGGCACGCUGAUAUGUAGGUGAAGCGACUUGCUCGUGGAGCUGAAAUCAGUCGAAGAUACCAGCUGGCUGCAACUGUUUAUUAAAAACACAGCACUGUGCAAACACGAAAGUGGACGUAUACGGUGUGACGCCUGCCCGGUGCCGGAAGGUUAAUUGAUGGGGUCAGCGCAAGCGAAGCUCUUGAUCGAAGCCCCGGUAAACGGCGGCCGUAACUAUAACGGUCCUAAGGUAGCGAAAUUCCUUGUCGGGUAAGUUCCGACCUGCACGAAUGGCGUAAUGAUGGCCAGGCUGUCUCCACCCGAGACUCAGUGAAAUUGAACUCGCUGUGAAGAUGCAGUGUACCCGCGGCAAGACGGAAAGACCCCGUGAACCUUUACUAUAGCUUGACACUGAACAUUGAGCCUUGAUGUGUAGGAUAGGUGGGAGGCUUUGAAGUGUGGACGCCAGUCUGCAUGGAGCCGACCUUGAAAUACCACCCUUUAAUGUUUGAUGUUCUAACGUUGACCCGUGAUCCGGGUUGCGGACAGUGUCUGGUGGGUAGUUUGACUGGGGCGGUCUCCUCCUAAAGAGUAACGGAGGAGCACGAAGGUUGGCUAAUCCUGGUCGGACAUCAGGAGGUUAGUGCAAUGGCAUAAGCCAGCUUGACUGCGAGCGUGACGGCGCGAGCAGGUGCGAAAGCAGGUCAUAGUGAUCCGGUGGUUCUGAAUGGAAGGGCCAUCGCUCAACGGAUAAAAGGUACUCCGGGGAUAACAGGCUGAUACCGCCCAAGAGUUCAUAUCGACGGCGGUGUUUGGCACCUCGAUGUCGGCUCAUCACAUCCUGGGGCUGAAGUAGGUCCCAAGGGUAUGGCUGUUCGCCAUUUAAAGUGGUACGCGAGCUGGGUUUAGAACGUCGUGAGACAGUUCGGUCCCUAUCUGCCGUGGGCGCUGGAGAACUGAGGGGGGCUGCUCCUAGUACGAGAGGACCGGAGUGGACGCAUCACUGGUGUUCGGGUUGUCAUGCCAAUGGCACUGCCCGGUAGCUAAAUGCGGAAGAGAUAAGUGCUGAAAGCAUCUAAGCACGAAACUUGCCCCGAGAUGAGUUCUCCCUGACCCUUUAAGGGUCCUGAAGGAACGUUGAAGACGACGACGUUGAUAGGCCGGGUGUGUAAGCGCAGCGAUGCGUUGAGCUAACCGGUACUAAUGAACCGUGAGGCUUAACCUU